GUGAACGCUGGCGGUAGGCCUAACACAUGCAAGUCGAACGGCAGCACAGUAAGAGCUUGCUCUUACGGGUGGCGAGUGGCGGACGGGUGAGGAAUACAUCGGAAUCUACUUUUUCGUGGGGGAUAACGUAGGGAAACUUACGCUAAUACCGCAUACGACCUACGGGUGAAAGCAGGGGAUCUUCGGACCUUGCUCGAUUGAAUGAGCCGAUGUCGGAUUAGCUAGUUGGCGGGGUAAAGGCCCACCAAGGCGACGAUCCGUAGCUGGUCUGAGAGGAUGAUCAGCCACACUGGAACUGAGACACGGUCCAGACUCCUACGGGAGGCAGCAGUGGGGAAUAUUGGACAAUGGGCGCAAGCCUGAUCCAGCCAUACCGCGUGGGUGAAGAAGGCCUUCGGGUUGUAAAGCCCUUUUGUUGGGAAAGAAAAGCAGCAGGUUAAUACCCCGCUGUUCUGACGGUACCCAAAGAAUAAGCACCGGCUAACUUCGUG
rnacentral:rRNA from 1 species